rnacentral:rRNA from 1 species
UGUUUCGGCUAGGGGGCCAUCCCGGCUUACCAACCCGAUGCAAACUGCGAAUACCGGAGAAUGUUAUCACGGGAGACACACGGCGGGUGCUAACGUCCGUCGUGAAGAGGGAAACAACCCAGACCGCCAGCUAAGGUCCCAAAGUCAUGGUUAAGUGGGAAACGAUGUGGGAAGGCCCAGACAGCCAGGAUGUUGGCUUAGAAGCAGCCAUCAUUUAAAGAAAGCGUAAUAGCUCACUGGUCGAGUCGGCCUGCGCGGAAGAUGUAACGGGGCUAAACCAUGCACCGAAGCUGCGGCAGCGACACUUU